GAUGAACGCUGGCGGCGUGCUUAACACAUGCAAGUCGAACGAAGCACUUUGAUCGAUUUCUUCGGAAUGAAGUUUUAGUGACUGAGUGGCGGACGGGUGAGUAACGCGUGGGUAACCUGCCUCACACAGGGGGAUAACAGUUGGAAACGGCUGCUAAUACCGCAUAAGCGCACAGUACCGCAUGGUACAGUGUGAAAAACUCCGGUGGUGUGAGAUGGACCCGCGUCUGAUUAGCUAGUUGGCAGGGUAGCGGCCUACCAAGGCGACGAUCAGUAGCCGACCUGAGAGGGUGACCGGCCACAUUGGGACUGAGACACGGCCCAAACUCCUACGGGAGGCAGCAGUGGGGAAUAUUGCACAAUGGGGGAAACCCUGAUGCAGCGACGCCGCGUGAGCGAAGAAGUAUUUCGGUAUGUAAAGCUCUAUCAGCAGGGAAGAAGAAAUGACGGUACCUGACUAAGAAGCACCGGCUAAAUACGUGCCAGCAGCCGCGGUAAUACGUAUGGUGCAAGCGUUAUCCGGAUUUACUGGGUGUAAAGGGAGCGCAGGCGGAAGGCUAAGUCUGAUGUGAAAGCCCGGGGCUCAACCCCGGUACUGCAUUGGAAACUGGUCAUCUAGAGUGUCAGAGGGGUAAGUGGAAUUCCUAGUGUAGCGGUGAAAUGCGUAGAUAUUAGGAGGAACACCAGUGGCGAAGGCGGCUUACUGGACGAUAACUGACGCUGAGGCUCGAAAGCGUGGGGAGCAAACAGGAUUAGAUACCCUGGUAGUCCACGCCGUAAAACGAGGAAUAAUAGGUGUCGGAAGGCACCAGCUCUUCGGUGCCGCCGCAAACGCAUUAAGUAAUUCCACCUGGGGAGUACGUUCGCAAGAAUGAAACUCAAAGGAAUGGACGGGGACCCGCACAAGCGGUGGAGCAUGUGGUUUAAUUUGAAGCAACGCGAAGAACCUUACCAAGUCUUGACAUCCCGGUGACCGGACAGUAAUGUGUCCUUUUCUUCGGAACACCGGUGACAGGUGGUGCAUGGUUGUCGUCAGCUCGUGUCGUGAGAUGUUGGGUUAAGUCCCGCAACGAGCGCAACCCUUAUCCCCAGUAGCCAGCAUUUUGGAUGGGCACUCUGAGGAGACUGCCAGGGAUAACCUGGAGGAAGGUGGGGAUGACGUCAAAUCAUCAUGCCCCUUAUGACUUGGGCUACACACGUGCUACAAUGGCGUAAACAAAGGGAAGCGAGACCGUGAGGUGGAGCAAAUCCCAAAAAUAACGUCUCAGUUCGGACUGUAGUCUGCAACCCGACUACACGAAGCUGGAAUCGCUAGUAAUCGCAGAUCAGAAUGCUGCGGUGAAUACGUUCCCGGGUCUUGCAC
rnacentral:rRNA from 1 species